CAGACACCAAGUGACCUGACUGAACCCUCUGGAGACCAUGAAUGGAAUGAUAGAUACACUUCAUCCUUACAACAGACACCAAGUGUUCCGAUCCUGAUGAAACCUUUUGAAGAUCAAGAAAGGAGUGGAAGAUCCACUUCUUCCUUACAACAGACACCAAGUGACCUGACUGAACCCUCUGGAGACCAUGAAUGGAAUGAGAGAUAAAUUCUCAAAAUUCUCAAAUUUUCAAAAUUCUCAUUAUUUCCUGGAAUAUCUUAUUUUGAUUAUUUUAUUUUUCCAUUUUUAAUAAAUAAUGCCUUCUUUUACAGGUGGGAAUAAGAGACGCACGUGGACAGAUUAUGAAGUGAAGGCUGUUGAGCGACAUAUGUUUGAUUUCAUAACAAGCCAUAAAGUUUCAGGUAAAACGA